GAUGAACGCUGGCGGCGUGCCUAAUACAUGCAAGUCGAGCGAAGCGGGGACGGGUGAGUAACACGUGGAGAACAUCCUAUAAGACUGGGAUAACUUCGGGAAACCGGAGCUAAACCGGAUACUUAGAGAUGGAGACGCGCUGCAUUAGCUGGUGGGUCAGGUAACGGCUUACAAAGGCAACGAUGCCUAGCUGACCUGAGAGGAUGAUCGGCCACACUGGAACUGAGACACGGUCCAGACUCCUACGGGAGGCAGCAGUAGGGAAUCUUCCGCAAUGGGCGAAAGCCUGACGGAGCCACGCCGCGUGAGUGAUGAAGGUCUUCGGAUCGUAAAACUCUGUUAUUAGGGAAGCGGUACCUAAUCAGAAAGCCACGGCUAACUCCGUGCCAGCCGCCGCGGUAAUUC
rnacentral:rRNA from 1 species